CAACUCUUCCGAAACCUGUAUUAAACAAAGCACUUUAGAACAAUAGUAAUUUAUUUUGUUUCUCCUAUUUCAUUCCUAGUUGUUCUGAAAAAAAAAAUAUAUUGUUUAAGUGGGAUAACUGUAUGGAGGUUCCAACAUGUAUUAAAACAUGAUCACACACCGACAGAACUGGUGGCUUUUUGGACAUCGGGAUCUAUAAAAGGUUUCGGUUUCCAAAGAUGUUAUCAGGGUCCACAAAACUGACAGACUUCAGCAUUCCAAUUUUAUUAAAGUAAUUAAUUGAGAUUAUCAAAUCAAGGUUUAAGAUUAGGAACAG